CUAGCAAGGGGGUGGGCUUGCUUGGCGAACGCGCAGUGGCACCAGUUGCAUGUUAGGCGUCAGACAGCUGCUGGUUACUUGGCACGCCAUGGGGCCCCCAGCCUCUGCAUCAAGCCCAUGUUGGGUUCCUCCUCCAUCGCCCGAUUUCUCUGUGCAGCACCCAAGAGAGGCUGUCCAUCGCUGCCUCUGCUUGGACAGUUCACCUGCUCCUACUCCUACCCCCAUGCAUUGCGCGGGGAGGCCUGUAGAGAGUAGCCAGUGCCAACAAAGGAGAGCUGAGGCUUGAGGCGCCGACGCUGGACCGAUGGCACAGCCAGUCCCAGGUGUAAGCGCAGCUCCAACCUUGCUCCUUCCGCUCCGCAGAUUCUGUCCUCCCUCGGCCUUCCCCAAGAAUGGACUUCUCCCGCAUACAGAGCUGGAGGGGAACGCAGAGGGAGAGGUCUCUUUCUGUUCUGGCUAGAAUAUUGUGUAAACACAAGAGCUUUGCAGAGUUGAGUUCAAACCUCUUCUCCCUUGUUGGCUGUGUCCUGCCCACCUGGGGCAACUUUACUGACCUCCGUCAAUUUCCUCAUCUGUCGAAUAGGAGGAUUAAUUUAUUCUCAUCUCAUGGGGUUGUCCUGAUGAAUAAGUUGGAUAACAUUUGUGAAAGACCCAAGACAGGACCUGACAACUCUUGAGUCUCAAGAAAUGUUCUUCCUCCCCUCUCCCCACUCUUAUUCCCUUUAGAGAAUGAUGGGGGCCCUGAGAUUAAGCCAGGCACUGGAAGAGGGCUCUCUUAGGUCCUCAUUCUGUCCCCAUCUUGAUCAGUUCCUCCAGGCCCA
rnacentral:lncRNA from 10 species